UACAGAGGGUGCGAGCGUUAAUCGGAAUUACUGGGCGUAAAGCGUGCGUAGACGGUAGCGUAAGUCAGAUGUGAAAGCCCCGGGCUCAACCUGGGAAUUGCAUUUGAGACUGCUCUGCUCGGGUGCGGAAGAGGGAAGCGGAAUUUCCGGUGUAGCGGUGAAAUGCGUAGAUAUCGGAAGGAACACCAGUGGCGAAGGCGGCCUUCUGGACCAAUACUGACGCUCAUGCACGAAAGCGUGGGGAGCAAACAGG
rnacentral:rRNA from 1 species